rnacentral:rRNA from 1 species
UGUAGGCGGUUCUCUAAGUUCGGUGUGAAAUCUCCCGGCUUAACUGGGAGGGUGCGCCGGAAACUGGAGGGCUUGAGUAUGGGAGAGGAAGGCGGAAUUCCUGGUGUAGCGGUGAAAUGCGUAGAUAUCAGGAGGAACACCUGCGGUGUAGACAGCUUUCUGGACCAUCACUGACGCUGAGACGCGAAAGCGUGGGUAGCAAACAGGAUUAGAUACCCUGGUAGUCCACGCCCUAAACGAUGCAUACUUGGUGUGAGCCGUUCAGUCGGUUCGUGCCGGAGCUAACGCGUUAAGUAUGCCGCCUGGGGAGUACGGUCGCAAGGCUGAA